rnacentral:rRNA from 1 species
UUGGAGGGCAAGUCUGGUGCCAGCAGCCGCGGUAAUUCCAGCUCCAAUAGCGUAUAUUAAAGUUGUUGCAGUUAAAAAGCUCGUAGUUGAAUUUCGGGGUCAGUAGGCUGGUCGUGCCACGGGUAUGUACUGGUCUCACUGAUUCCUCCUUCCUGAUGAACCGUAAUGCCAUUAAUUUGGUGUUGCGGGGAAACUGGACUGUUACUUUGAAAAAAUUAGAGUGUUUAAAGCAGGCUAACGCUUGAAUACAUUAGCAUGGAAUAAUGAAAUAGGACGUUCGAUCCUAUUUUGUUGGUUUCUAGGAUUGACGUAAUGAUUAAUAGGGAUAGUUGGGGGCAUUAGUAUUCAAUUGUCAGAGGUGAAAUUCUUGGAUUUAUUGAAGACUAACUACUGCGAAAGCAUUUGCCAAGGAUGUUUUCAUUAAUCAAGAACGAAAGUUAGGGGAUCGAAGACGAUCAGAUACCGUCGUAGUCUUAACCAUAAACUAUGCCGACUAGGGAUCGGAUGAUGUUAAUUUUUUAAUGACUCAUUCGGCGCCUUACGGGAAA